GGGCCGGUAGUUAAACCCGGUAUAACGCUCGCUUCGCAUGCGAGAGGCUACGGGUUCAAAUCCCGUCCGGUCCA
rnacentral:tRNA from 1 species